rnacentral:misc_RNA from 1 species
UAAGUGCAGAAAAGAAAUGAAAGCGCGGGUGUUUAGUUUGCUAAGUUUCCUUUGACAGGAGUCUUUGAAGAGUAAACUGAAAACUAUCUGUUAUCCUAAUUCAUAAACAAUAUUUUUUGUUGGUUAGUAUAGUUUUUGUUGGUUAUCUUCAAGCGUUUUUGGAACCUGCCCUUUGAUGGUAAAAAUGUAGGAUCUGUUACCUGUAUUUUUGCCCCAGGAUUUGACUUUUGUUUGAUUGGAUUAAGCUCAUCAGUUGAAGGGCUGCUUCUGUGGAAUAGAAAAGAUUUGUUUCACAGGAAGCUGAGUUUUGCAUAUAGAUCUUGCAUCUAUCAUCAUUAUUCUAAUAUUAGGCUAAUUGAUGUAUUGUGCAGCUCUAGCUCUGAAUUCUGUAUGUACUAGAUAAAUUAUGAGACAUCUCAUGAUGUGGAUUUCAUGUUUACAGUCUGGUUGAGAAUGUUGAUCUCUUGCACCUACUGACCUCUGUUGUCCUGUUUCUUUUUUUUCAUCAUGUAGCUGUAUAAUGUAAUGAAUCAAAUUGCAUCUUUUCACAUUAUCUUGAG